CCUACGGGGGGCAGCAGUGGGGAAUAUUGGGCAAUGGGCGAAAGCCUGACCCAGCAACGCCGCGUGAAGGAAGAAGGCUUUCGGGUUGUAAACUUCUUUUGACAGGGAAGAGCAGAAGACGGUACCUGUCGAAUAAGCCACGGCUAACUACGUGCCAGCAGCCGCGGUAAUACGUAGGGGGCAAGCGUUAUCCGGAUUUACUGGGUGUAAAGGGGGCGCAGACGGCAAUGCAAGCCAGGAGUGAAAGCCCGGGGCCCAACCCCGGGACUGCCCUUGGAACUGCAUGGCUGGAGUACAGGAGAGGCAGGCGGAAUUCCUGGUGUAGCGGUGAAAUGCGUAGAUAUCAGGAGGAACACCGGCGGCGAAGGCGGCCUGCUGGACCGCGACUGACGUUGAGGCUCGAAAGCGUGGGGAGCGAACAGGAUUAGAUACCCUAGUAGUC
rnacentral:rRNA from 1 species